rnacentral:rRNA from 1 species
CCCUUAGAUGUUCUGGGCCGCACGCGCGCUACACUGAUGCCUUCAACGAGUCUAAAACCUGCUCUGAUAGGGGUGGGUAAUCUUUUGAAUGUGCAUCGUGAUUGGGAUAGAUGAUUGCAAUUUUUCAUCUUCAACGAGGAAUGCCUAGUAAACGCAAGUCAUCAGCUUGCAUUGAUUACGUCCCUGCCCUUUGUACACACCGCCCGUCGCUCCUACCGAUUGAAUGAUCCGAUGAAUAUCAUGGAUUGAGGAUGCAAGUAGGUUCGCCUAUCUUCAUCUUCGAGAAGUGAAGUAAAUCUUAUCAUUUAGAGGAAGGAGAAGUCGUAAC